CCCAACUAGGUGUAGCUGGUGCGCACACUUGUCUGAAAAGCAAGGGGACACAGUUCGAUUCUGUGAGUUGGGACCA
rnacentral:tRNA from 1 species